rnacentral:tRNA from 1 species
GGGCGUGUAGCUCAGCUGGGAGAGCACCUGCUUUGCAAGCAGGGGGUCAGGGGUUCGAGCCCCCUCACGUCCACCA